GACGUAGGGCGCGAGCGUUGUCCGGAUUUAUUGGGCGUAAAGGGCGCGUAGGCGGCUAGAUGUGUCAAAGGUGAAAUCCCUCGGCUCAACUGAGGAACUGCCUUUAAAACUGUCUGGCUUGAGGCCGGGAGAGGGUAGCGGAAUUCCCAGUGUAGCGGUGAAAUGCGUAGAUAUUGGGAGGAACACCAGUGGCGAAGGCGGCUACCUGGACCGGUUCUGACGCUGAGGCGCGAAAGCGUGGGUAGCAAACAGG
rnacentral:rRNA from 1 species